UAAUACGUAGGUGGCGAGCGUUGUCCGGAAUUACUGGGUGUAAAGGGCGUGUAGGCGGGGACGCAAGUCAGAUGUGAAAUUCCGGGGCUCAACCCCGGCGCUGCAUCUGAAACUGUGUCUCUUGAGUGCUGGAGAGGAAAGCGGAAUUCCUAGUGUAGCGGUGAAAUGCGUAGAUAUUAGGAGGAACACCAGUGGCGAAGGCGGCUUUCUGGACAGUAACUGACGCUGAGGCGCGAAAGCGUGGGGAGCAAACAGGAUUAGAUACCCUGGUAGUCCACGCUGUAAACGAUGGAUACUAGGUGUAGGAGGUAUCGACCCCUCCUGUGCCGCAGUUAACACAAUAAGUAUCCCACCUGGGGAGUACGGCCGCAAGGUUG
rnacentral:rRNA from 1 species